GCGAUUGAUUAUUGUUGACCAUUCGAGAUUCUUUUUUGCGAACCCGUCUUUAGCUGAAUGUGUGAUUUUAAUAUUACUACACGGGCCUCAAGGGAUUUUAGAUCGAAAAUAAAUGCAAAAAAUGUGAUUUUUUUUGUGUCUUUCAAGGCACAAACAAUACAGAAUUAAUUGCUUAUAACUGUUUAGUGUUUUUAAAUUUCAGCUGUAUUUUUACUCGGCUCGAAACAGGAGUAGUAGCUCGUUAAAUCUCGCAUUACACCUGUUUCGUAGUCU
rnacentral:lncRNA from 1 species